rnacentral:rRNA from 1 species
UGGAGAGAGCUUGCUCUCAAAACUUAGCGGCGAACGGGUGAGUAACACGUGGGCAACCUGCCUGACAGACUGGGAUAACUUGGGGAAACUCAAGCUAAUACCGGAUAAGAUCGCGAACCGCAUGGGACGCGAUGGAAAGUCUGAACGACACUGUCAGAUGGGCCCGCGGCGCAUUAGCUAGUUGGUGGGGUAAUGGCCUACCAAGGCGACGAUGCGUAGCCGACCUGAGAGGGUGACCGGCCACACUGGGACUGAGACACGGCCCAGACUCCUACGGGAGGCAGCAGUAGGGAAUCUUCCACAAUGGGCGAAAGCCUGAUGGAGCAACGCCGCGUGAGUGAUGAAGGUUUUCGGA